UAAAGCUAAAAGCUGAAUAGUAAGAGGGAGAGCAGUGAAUUAAAUUGUUGUGGCUAAUGAUAACAAGACCUACUCUCUGAAGGCUAAUUAUGCUGAAGAGAUCAAAAGCAGCAAGAAAUCUUUUUUUUUUUUUUUUGAAUUUGUAAUUAUAAUAAUAAAAUAAAAUAAAAAGUCUGGCAUGUAAUAAAAGUUAUAAUAAGGAAAAAUACUUCAUGGCUGUACAGAAUUUCACCUCUUCCAGGCAUAUGCAGACCAUGGUAACAGACUAUGUUUGUUAAAAAAGACGGGGGAUCUUCCCCAGCUAAUAUCUAUCUAACACAUCUUUACACAAUUCGUAUUAAUGCAAAACCAAAACAUGAACAGUGCAAAGUUCUCACCUUUGUGUUUG